CACACAAUUAGAAUGUGGGUUAAAGGAAGUUACACAGAUGGUUAGACGAGGCCCCUCCAGUUCCAGUGUCCAAUAGAUGUGGGUGAAGAAGGACAAGGAAGAAGCAUUUUGGUCAAAGCAUAAUGAUGGCUAUCACGAACCCAAAAUGUGGGAUUACACAGAAGUCAUCAUAGUGGCUGUUUUCACUGGUGUGCUGCUGGUUUUCAGUGUGGUUGGAUCAGUGUACGUCUUCAGAGGGCACUGGCAAAUCACCAAAUGUGACAAAAGUGACAGACAACAAAAGCAGAACAAAGAAAGGAAGGAGAGAGAGAUUGAGAAAGAAGACAACGCAGAUGUAACACCAGCUCCAUCUACGUCUUUCUAUGCUAGUCUAGAGCCUCGGCCCAGGUCCAUUUAUGAUGUACUGGACCACUCAGCUGCCAACACAGAGCCAGACCAACAGAAAGCUAAACCUAAGAAAAAGGAACCCUCAAAAACGGUCUGUGUGAACUUUGGGUACCUUUUCACAUUUUCUGUUGUCAGUGGAAAACAAUGA
rnacentral:lncRNA from 1 species